GAUGAACGCUGGCGGCGUGCCUAAUACAUGCAAGUCGAGCGAACGGACGAGAAGCUUGCUUCUCUGAUGUUAGCGGCGGACGGGUGAGUAACACGUGGAUAACCUACCUAUAAGACUUGGAUAACUUCUUGAAACCGUAGCUAAUACCGGAUAAUAUUUUGAACCGCAUGGUUCAAAAGUGAAAGACGUUCUUGCUGUCACUUAUAGAUGGAUCCGCGCUGCAUUAGCUAGUUGGUAAGGUAACGGCUUACCAAGGCAACGAUGCAUAGCCGACCUGAGAGGGUGAGCGGCCACACUGGAAGUGAGAGACGGUCCAGACUCAUACGGGAGGCAGGAGGAGGGAAGGGGCAGCAAUGGGCGAAAGCAUGACGGAGGAACGCCGCGUGAGUGAUGGAGGGCUGCGGAUGGGAAAACUCUGUUAGUAGGGAAGAACAUAUGUGCAAGUAACGGUGCAGAUCUUGACGGUACCGAAGCAGAAAGCCACGGCUAACUACGU
rnacentral:rRNA from 1 species